rnacentral:tRNA from 1 species
UCCGGCGUAGGGUAAUUGGCAGCCCACCAGGCCUUGGACCUGGGAUCGUCCUGGUUCGAGUCCAGGCGCCGGAA